rnacentral:rRNA from 1 species
CCCAUACCUCCGAUUCGGUGGAAUCACGCGGAACCGCUCGCUCUCCCCUCUCAGACGUGAAACACUAUCGUCUCUCCCUCUCUCGAACUGCGUCGCCUCUCCCUCGUCUCUCCCUCUGCCGAUCUGUCCGGCAUGACCACCGGAGGAGAUGGGAUGGUUGACCGAAGAGGAGGAGGUGCAGAGUGUGAGCGGCUGUGGGGCAGCGGGCUUGCAUCGGGGCAACACCAAACCGCAUGACAUGGAGCGGCGGCGGCUCCCGAAACAAGACGCCACAGCGGUGCACCUCACGCGACGGCGGAAGAAACCGACCUCGCCUCAAGCGGCAGCGGAAGGGGAAGCAUGAGGUGUGGCUGGUUCUUGCCGGCGGCGGCCUGACUUGCUGUUCCAAAUUGUUUGUGCUGCUAUGUUGUGCGAUGCGAUACUAUCCUGGAGACCCAAACUUUAGAUCCAUACAUUCAGUUUAUGCAUAGUGUUUAUGUGCUGAAGCAUGAACUAGAGGGGAAGAAUAUAUUUAUCAUGCUUCACACUGUCAAAUUAUUUGUGUUGCAAAAUUUACCGAUUCCAUCUCUUCAGUUCGUUCUUGUGGCACUUUCAAAAUUUUAUCACUGAGUUCAUGCUAGUGACACCGUCAAAUUUAGAGGGGAAG